UACGGGGGGAGCAAGCGUUGUUCGGAUUUACUGGGCGUACAGGGAGCGUAGGCGGUUGGGUAAGCCCUCCGUGAAAUCUCCGGGGCCUAACCCGGAAAGUGCGGAGGGGACUGCUCGGCUAGAGGAUGGGAGAGGAGCGCGGAAGUUCCCGGUGUAGCGGUGAAAUGCGUAGAGAUCGGGAGGAAGGCCGGUGGCGAAGGCGGCGCUCGUGGAACAUUUCGUGACGCUGAGGCUCGAAAGCGUGGGGAGCAAACAGG
rnacentral:rRNA from 1 species